rnacentral:lncRNA from 1 species
GGUUGCCUCCUAGUAGCGCUUGUUUAACAUCGCGAGCCUGACCCAAACCUGGUUAGCACUUGUCAGUAAGUGCCUCCCAACACCUUUCAGUAGGUGUACCUUCCUGGUAUCCUUCAGUAGAUACCUAUAUCUUCUAACAUCCCCUAGUAGAUGCUAUCCCAGUAGCACUCAUCAGUAAAUGCUAAUCUUUCUAAUCUUCAUUGGCAUCCAUCAGUAAAUGCCAUAUCACCUAACAUCCAUCAGUAGAUGUUGUAGAAGCAUCCAUCAGUAGAUGCUAUCAUCACUGCCAUCAGAAGCAGCACACAACCCUCCCAGGUAACGCUUCUUUAACGUCCUUAGCUUGACCCGGUAAAGCCCAAACACCCCUCAGUAGGUGUUAAUUUUUAACGUUGGCGUUCUUCCUUCCUUCAUGACACCAACAAUAUUCUUGUCACCAACUCUAAGGAUCCUCAAUCUCAAGAGCUCUGCUUGCUUUAAUAGUCUUGACAACCCAUAACCUAAUUUUGAAUUUCAUUGAUGUGCCAGGUUAGGGUUCGUCACUUUUCACAUCAGGGUGUUGGUGAACCAAUUCUCCUUCCUUAUCUGCCUCCUGAUGAUCUUGUGCUCCUAGUACCAAAAAUUUUAUCCUACAUACACUAAAGAACACUGCAUUAGAGCACCGAAUUAGCCCAAAAAUAAAAAUAGUAAAAGAUAAUUUUUAUUUUUAUUUUAAUUUUCAUUUUCAUUUUUUUAAAAAAAAUUAAAAACAGAAAGAUAAAAAGAAAAAUAAAAUAAAAUAAAAUAAAAUAAAAGCAAAUCAAAUCAAAUAAAAUAAAAUCAAAUAAAAUAAAAUAAAAUAAAAUAAAAUCAAAUCAAAUCAAAUCAAAUCAAAUAAAACAAAAUAAGAUAAAAUCAAAUCAAAUCAAAUAAGACAAAUAAAAUAAAAAGAAAGUCUAAUCGAUCAAGAAUCGCACACAUAGAAUAGUUCUACCAUGAGUCCCCAGCAACGACGCCAAAAACUUGUUGACAAAUUGGCAAGUGUACCAAAUCGUACAAGUAAUAUAAAUGGUAAGAGCAAGUAUCGUUUUCCCAAGAGACUCAAAAGGCUUUCUCGUUCACGUGAACUAAAAUAAUAAGACUUGGAAAAUAAAAAUUAAUAAAUUGGAUUUGAGAACAAAAAUAUUAACAUGCAAAAAUAAAGUUCAUUCAAUUGACAAAAGAAAACAAUGGAUGAAUGGAUGUUGUUGGGGGUUUACAAUUUCAUCUAAUCCGCUCUCUCUUACCUACUCCUCUUGAAUAUUAGUUUGAUUAAUUAAUUGUUAUGCGACUUUCUUAGUCUCCCCUUAACCCGAUCCCUCGGCGAAA